rnacentral:misc_RNA from 1 species
GCAAAUUUGGUGAUUCCAGGUGCUCUGGAUUUAUUAUUAUUAUUUUGCUUUAAUCUGUGGUUUGAUAUUCAAAUUUUGUGUUUGUGAGAGUAGCUAGCUGUGUGGGUGUUGUAUGAGAGGAAACCCUUGUUUUGAUUGCUAGAUUUGUUUAGGCAUCGGGUGUUUGAUUGCUGCAUUUGGUGGAUUGAGAGGCAUCCAUUUCUGGAUCUAGGGUUUUGUGUUUGCGGUGGAAAUUAGGUAAUGAGUUUUUGGAUGCAAUCAUUCGUGCUUUUACUUGGUUGAGAUACUUGUCCCUCUAGGGUCUAUUGUUCAAUAUUGGUGCGAAUUAUACUAGCUGAUGAAUUCAUUGUUUAAGCUCUGUGAUGUAUACAAUUUGUAUUGGGAACAUGGAUAGAAGGCAUGUGUUAGCUUGCUCUUUCCUUUUUUGGGCUUUAACUUUGUAGAUUCUGUCAUUCUAGGAUGCUUUAUCUCGCAGCCAAUAUACUUUGAGGUUUCUG